rnacentral:rRNA from 1 species
UACGAAGGAUCCAAGCGUUGUCCGGAUUUACUGGGUUUAAAGGGUGCGUAGGCGGAUGAAUAAGUCAGUGGUGAAAGCCUGCAGCUUAACUGUAGAAUUGCCAUUGAAGCUGUUCGUCUCGAGUGCGGUUGAGGUCAUUGGAAUGUAUCAUGUAGCGGUGAAAUGCUUAGAUAUGAUACAGAACACCGAUUGCGAAGGCAGAUGACUAAACCGUAACUGACGCUGAGGCACGAAAGCGUGGGGAUCAAACAGG